rnacentral:rRNA from 1 species
ACUCCUACGGGAGGCAGCCGUGGGGAAUUUUGGACAAUGGGGGAAACCCUGAUCCAGCAAUGCCGCGUGAGUGAAGAAGGCCUUCGGGUUGUAAAGCUCUUUUGUCAGGGAAGAAACACCGGCUCUAACACAGUCCGGGAAUGACGGUACCUGAAGAAUAAGCACCGGCUAACUACGUGCCAGCAGCCGCGGUAAUAC